rnacentral:rRNA from 1 species
CCUACGGGAGGCUGCAGUGAGGAAUAUUGGUCAAUGGCCGGAAGGCUGAACCAGCCAUGCCGCGUGAAGGUCAGUGCCCUAUGGGCGUUAAACUUCUUUUGUGCGGGAGCAAUAAUGGUCACGUGUGGCCAGACGAGAGUACCGUACGAAUAAGCAUCGGCUAACUCCGUGCCAGCAGCCGCGGUAAUACGGGCGAGGCAAGCGGUAUCCGGAAUUAGUGGGUUUAAAGGGUGCGUAGGCUGUGAGGUAAGUCAGCGGUGAAAUGUCCCCGCUCAACGGGGUGAAGUGCCAUUGAUACUGCCUUGCUAGAGUGCGGAUGCGGUUGGAGGAAUGUGUGGUGUAGCGGUGAAAUGCAUAGAUAUCA